rnacentral:rRNA from 1 species
UACGUAGGGGGCAAGCGUUGUCCGGAAUUAUUGGGCGUAAAGCGCGCGCAGGCGGUCAUUUAAGUCUGGAGUUUAAGCCCGGGGCUCAACCCCGGAUCGCUCUGGAAACUGGGAGACUUGAGUGCAGGAGAGGGAAGUGGAAUUCCACGUGUAGCGGUGAAAUGCGUAGAGAUGUGGAGGAACACCAGUGGCGAAGGCGACUUCCUGGCCUGUAACUGACGCUGAGGCGCGAAAGCGUGGGGAGCAAACAGGAUUAGAUACCCCAGUAGUCC